rnacentral:rRNA from 1 species
UAGGGAAUCUUCCGCAAUGGGCGAAAGCCUGACGGAGCAACGCCGCGUGAGUGAUGAAGGUCUUCGGAUCGUAAAACUCUGUUAUUAGGGAAGAACAAAUGUGUAAGUAACUAUGCACGUCUUGACGGUACCUAAUCAGAAAGCCACGGCUAACUACGUGCCAGCAGCCGCGGUAAUACGUAGGUGGCAAGCGUUAUCCGGAAUUAUUGGGCGUAAAGCGCGCGUAGGCGGUUUUUUAAGUCUGAUGUGAAAGCCCACGGCUCAACCGUGGAGGGUCAUUGGAAACUGGAAAACUUGAGUGCAGAAGAGGAGAGUGGAAUUCCAUGUGUAGCGGUGAAAUGCGCAGAGAUAAGGAGGAACACCAGUGGCGAAGGCGACUUUCUGGUCUGUAACUGACGCUGAUGUGCGAAAGCGUGGGGAUCAAACAGG